rnacentral:rRNA from 1 species
UUUUUAACGCAGACAGUGAAUGCCUUGCUUCUCAUCUCCUAAGAAGGACGUACAUAGCCACGAAAGUCGCCGGGGAACUGCUACGAAGUUUUGAUCCGACGGUGUCCGAAUGGGGAAACCCACCGCGUUUUACGCGGUAUUUACGCACCAAAUUUUUGCUCGAAAGAGCAUUUCAAUAAUGCGAUAAAUGGAAACCGCCCGAACUGAAACAUCUCAGUAGGGCGAGGAAAAUAAAUCAAUUUUGAGAUUACCUUAGUAGCGGCGAGCGAAAAGGUAACAGCCUAAACCAUUGUGCAUAGCACAGGGAAAAUCUCAAAAACGCCAAAACUCAAAGAUUCCAAGCAAUUAAAAAAGGAAAAAUAUAAAAAUUAAAAAAUAUUUUUCUUUAAAAAAGUUUUUAAAUUUUAAUUUGUUUGGAGAUUUGGAUUCUUGGAAGUUUAGAGUUUUUUCAUGCGCUGUGCAUGGUGGGGUUGCGGGAGCCCAAUGUGGGACUGACUUUUGCUAGCAGAAUGGUCUGGAAUGGCCAAUCACAGAGAGUGAAAAUCUCGUAAGCUAAAGCGAAUGUUACCCUAGGGAUUUCCCAAGUACCACGGAGCACAUACUCUGUGGGAAUCCGGAGGAACCAUCCCCCAAGGCUAAAUAAGAUGAGAGAGCGAUAGUGAACUAGUACCGUGAGGGAAAGGUGAAAAGAAGGGUGAGACACCCAAUGAAAUAGUACCUGAAACUGUUUGCGAACAAUCCGUGAGAGCCAUGAAGUAUGCGCAAGCUUAACUUUAUGGUGAUCGCGUGCCUAUUGAAGAAUGAGCCGGCGAGUUCUCGAAUAUUUCUAGUCUAAGUCCGAUUUAAUCGGACGCAGGCAUAGGGAAACCAAGUGUGAAUAGCGCGUUUGGAGUAUUCGAAAGACCCGAAACCAGGUGAGCUAACCAUGUGCAGGGUGAAGGGAGCAGAAAUGCUCGUGGAAGCCCGAACCCGUUAUCGUUGCAAUGAUAUGGGAUGACGUGUGGUUAGUGGCAAUAUACCUAACGAACCUGGAGAUAGCUGGUUCUCCCCGAAAGGUCUAUAGGGACCGUGUCACGCUACGUACUGUUGGCCGUAGAGCACUAGAUGGGUUGGAGAGCGCAAGCAAUUCAACUCAAUUAAACUCCGAAAACUAACGUGUAUUAACGUGAUAGACAGCCGCAUCGGGCUAAGCUGAUGCGACGAAAGGGAAACAACCCAUGAUUCUCAGUUAAGGCCUCUAAAUUGUAUCUAAGUUUUAAAGGAAGUCAUUUCUCUCAGACAGCCAGGAAGUUGGCUCAGAAGCAGCCACCUUUUAAAGAUAGCGUAACAGCUCACUGGUCGACUGAGGAGUGGCGCCCAAGAUUUAUCGAGGAUUAAGAUACAUGCCGAAGCUAGAGAUUUGUACCGAGAGCAAUCGAAGUACAAGUGGUAGGGGAGCGUUCCAACUGCAGUGAAGUUCUGACUGUAAGGUCGGAUGGAGCGGUUGGGAGUGAGAAUGUCGGCUUGAGUAGCGCACAAUGCCUGUGAGAAUCAGGCGCACCGAAUGUCCAAGGUUUCCACUGCAAGAUUCGUUCUCAGUGGGUUAGUCGGUACCUAAGGCGAGGCCAUAACGGCGUAGUCGAUGGAAGAGCAGUCAAAAUUCUGCUAUUUGUUUUGAAUCGUUAUCAACUGGGGAUUGACCAAGUUGGAAGUUUGAGGCCCUUACGUGAAGUAGGGUACAAGCUGUUAAAUAGUUUCGAAUAGAAAAUCUUUCGAAGCGUUUAAUUGAGCAGCAAUGCAAAUUCCGCCGCGAGGCGGGAGAUUUCAACACUUUCAGUUUGCAAGAAAAGAUUCGCAGCGAGAGUCAAAGCAAGCCGUACCGCAAACCGACACAGGUGGACUGGGGGAGCACCCUAAGGUGAUCGAGUGACAAAUCCUCAAGGAACUCGGCAAAAAAUCUACCCGUAACUUCGGGAGAUGGGUUGCCAAUAGCAAUAUUGGUUGCAACUAAAGUUUAUUAGUCGACUGUUUAUCAAAAACACAGGUCCGUGCAAAGACGAAAGUCGCAGUAUACGGGCUGACGCUUGUCCAGUGCCGGUAAGUUAAGAGGAGGGGUACUAGCCGCAAGGUUAGCGCUCCGAAUUUAAGCUCCGGUGAACGGCAGCAGUAACUAUAACUGUUCUAAGGUAGCGAAGUUCCUUGCCAGGUGAGUUCUGGCCCGCAUGAAUAGCGUAACGAGCUAAUAACUGUCUUGAGGGUUUACUCGGCGAAAUAGCGAUGGCUGUGAAGACGCGGCCUACUUCUACAUGGACAAAAAGACCCCGUGGAGCUUUACUGCAGGUAGACAUUGCUUUCAUAUUUUUCGAUUGUCUAGGAUAGGUGGGAGCCGCAAGGCGACAGUGUAAUACCACUCGUUGGGAAAUGUGAGGCUUACUUUGGGACUCUGGAAACGAGUCUGGGAAAAGUGUUUGCCGGGCAGUUUUACUGGGGCGGUACCCUGCCAAAAUGUAACGCAGGGACACAAAGGUUGGCUUUCCACCAAUGGAAACGGUGGUUCAAAGCGCAAAGGUUUAAGCCAGCUUGACUGCGACACCGACAGGUGAAGCAGGUACGAAAGUAGGUCUUAGUGAUCCUCCAAGGCACAAUGGGUGUGCCUGGAGCUUAAUGGAUAAAAGCUACCCCGGGGAUAACAGAGUAGUCGCGCCCGAGCGUCCAUAGCGACGGCGCGGUUCGCUACCUCGAUGUCGGCUCAUCACAUCCUGGCGCUGAAGAAGGUGCCAAGGGUCGGUCUGUUCGCCCGUUAAA